CAGCGGCCGGGACGCGGUGGCCGGCCGGCGCGGCGCUCGUAGAAAGGGCCAGAGUAGGGACGAGACGGACCGGGAUGUCCCCGGUGAGGUGCCGAGGGGUGCAUUUGUGACACGCUUGUAGGGGCGGAAUUCGUUGAGCAUCACCUGGCCACCCGGUCCCAAGGCUUUCAGUGGAAACCGUAUCCAGAGCAUCUUCUCUAAUCGCCGUGCGCUGCCUUCCUUACCUCAUUCAGUAGUGACCAGCUAAUCAUCGGGACCAGAUCAAGAAGCCAGCCAUGACUGACCGACCUGGAUCACCUGGAUUUGUCCUAAUUGUUGGCUAAAGACAGCUCCUUGAGACCCUGUCAGAAUGAUAGGCACGUUAUAAUUGGCAAAUGUUGGAAGGACUAUUUGAAUGAAAGAAUAUUCAGGAAUAAAAUUCUAAAGAAGAGCAGUUAUACAAUUGGGAGGAGGAUUUCCCCUGUUCUCACUGAGAAUUCUGAACAAAAGUGAUCUGGAUUAACACAGCAUCUCUGCAGUGCAAAGUAUUCUUCUGGGACACAUUCGAUAAACCUCUGUCAGAAAUAGUUCACCUCCAUUGCC